UUCCUUCCGUGAGAGGCUAGCAUGGGAGCAUGGUGCCUGGAAUGUGACUAGCUCAGACCAAAACAACAUGCUAAGGACAGAGAAAGAGCCUGGAUGUUAAAGACAUCAUUGACUGUCGCACCAACCCUGAAACCACCCGCCUUCAGACUUCUUGUUAGGCAAGUAUCCAGAGUGGUGGUGGGCUCGGCCUAUGGUGGCCGGGUCCCUGUCACCUGUGGCUGAGGCCCCCUGACUGACAGCUUUGUGGUGCCCUGGCUUCCCCACAGGACUGCUGCACUCUGGAAUCAGAGCUACCCUGGGCCUCACAGGCGCUGUUGGCCAGACGCUGGGUGGAGAGCUGGCCCAGCCCUUCUCCCUACUUCCUCCUCUCACCCUGGCCUUCUGCCCGUCAGUCCUACUCCUUCAGGGUUCUGUGUUCCUUCCAGGAAUGUGCUCCUCCCCACCCCUCCACCUCAACUCUCCUAAGCCCAGCUCAAGGUGGAUCUCUCCCUGUGGAGCUGCUCUGACCCCACAGGCUGCUCCUUCACUCUGGGCCAGCAGCAUUUCCCACGGACCACAGCUACAAGCUGUUUCGUGAGUUGGUAAAAUGCCUCUAUAGUACUGAUUUCUUUGUCUCUCCCAUUAGGCUGUGAGCUCAAGGGUGGAAAUUAUAGCUCAUGAAUCAACAAAUUCUCUACACUAGAUGGGACCUGCAGUAAAUGUUUGCUGAAUGACUGAAUGAAGGAUGAGGCCAUGUUCAUCAGCACAAGAAACCUUUGACCUGCUCUAGAGCCUUCCCACGCUGACUGAUCCUGCUGGGACGCAGGCCAGCGCCCCUCCAUCCGGAAACUCGGAACUCGCUUACCUGCUCCCGCUGGAAUGGUAUUGUAUUAAGGCACCUGGAACUAUAGUAGGUAUUUAUUAACCCCACCACACGGAGGGGACUCCAAGAGUCUGUCCUGAAGAUACUUUCCCCUGGUCCAUGGUGUUUAGCUUUUCUAGUCUCCUCGCAGCCAGGAGUGGCCCUGUGACCCUGUGACCCUGCGCUGGCCCCUGAGACAAAGUGGAAUUCCUUUGGGCAGCUGCAGCUGGGGCCUGUGCUUCCUGUUCCGGGAGGCAAGCACCAGGAUGAAACCAUGUGCUAAAGGUGGGAGGGGGUGGAGGACGGGGGAAACAUAGACAGAACCAUCACGAACACACUCGUUCUAGAAUCUAUGGACCCAGACAUUUUCACUCAAGGAAAUCCAGCGGGUCCCUUCAGUUCUAUGGGGAAGCAAUGAGGUAGCAAAGUUAGGGUGUGGGAUCUGGCCACAGACACAUCCCAGUUCAAGUCCUCACCAGGGGUGUGCGGGGACUCAGUCCUCUGGCCCUCACUUCCUCCCCUGCGGGAUGGGACUAAGGCACUCACUCACCUUGCAGGGCUGUGUGAGCGCGAAUGAGAGAAUGCACUUUAAAUGCCUGGUCUCCUAUCUAGCACACAGCAAGCACUAAAACAAACAUUUCCGACUACAAAUGCAGACUACCCCGCCCACGCCCCUCCCCAGCAAAACUGUCUUGAAGCCAACUUUUCAAACGAACAGCCCUUUCCAGACCGGGCUUGGAAAGCUGCACCCAUUUCCUAAGCUGCUGAGAACCCUGGCUGCCUCUCCCCUGCCAUUUUGUAACCACCAGCCGCAAGAGGAACCCUAAAAUACUCUACAAAGACAGCCCACAACGUCCCAGUUGAUGUAACCACUGUAGUACCCAAAUUAAAAUUAUCUCAGGUUAAGGAGUUUUUUGUUUUUUUAUUAAUGUUUGGAGAGAGAGGAAGGGAGGGGGGGAGGGGGAGAGAGAGAGGCAUCGGUUUGAGAGUGGAAUAUCGAUCGGCUGUCUCCCACAUGCCCCGCACUGGCGUUUGAGCCUGUGACCUGGGCACAUGCUCUGACCGGGAAUUGAACCAGCAACCCUCAGUGCACGGGAGGACACCCAAGAACCAAGCCACACCAGCCAGGGCAGGUGAGGGAGGGUUUUAAAAACCUAUCCAGAUAAGAGAGUGCAAGGCUGUGAAGCCGAGGUUUGAAGUGGCUGGCCAAGGUACAUUCUUUUUUCCUCCCCCAACCUGUGUGUGAAAGAUGUUCUCUCUCUCUCUCUCUCUCUCUCUCUCUCUCUCUCUCUCUGUCUGUCUCGGAUUGGCUCUGUGAUCAAGUCAAAAACCUACAAGUAGGCCUGCGGGCUGGAGACCAGGGAACAGGCACAGCUCAGGUCCAAAGGUCGUCUGGCAGAAUUCCCUCUUUGGGGAGGCCAGUCUUUCUUUUAUUAAGGCUUUCAAUGGACCGGCUGUGGCCCACACUACAGAGGGUAAUCUGCUUUCCUCAGCACUAAUCUCAUCUAAAAACUACCUUCACAGAAACAUCUAGAAUAAAGUUUGACCAAAUAUCUGGGUCCCAUCGCCCAGCUACGUUGCACAUAAAGUUAACCACCCCAGGGGUUUACAGCAACCAAUGCAAACAAGUUCCAAUCCAACAGGGGCCACUCUGUCCGUCCUUCAGUUCUCCUCCAACUGUCAGCCUCCUGCGGUCUGGCUGGCCCCCUGCCCCUCUUCCCCCCUCCCUUCCUUCCUGCUCUACCUGCCCCACCAGGAGCGAAGCCCAGCGCCUGUCCUUGGGGCCUGCACAGCAGUCUGGCUCUCCAUCAAUUGCCAGGUUCCCCCAGUCCAUCAAGGCAUCAGUCCCUGGGAGGUUUUGUCACUUGCCUGGGGACACAGCUAGGAAGGGGUGGAGCUGGCAUUUAAACCCAGGUGUUCUGACGUAGAAGUCUGGGUUCUCACCCUAUUCAGACUGCUUACAUCUGAAAUGUGCUACCCAGGAUCAUGUUAGAUGGUCUCACGGGUACAUUUAAAGACAUUUCUAGACUUAAAUAUUCAAUUUAAUGUGGACUAGGAAAAGAGCAUGAACUAACUCAUCAGAGUAAUGAUUUCAUGGGUAUAAUCACACAGGAAGAGGCCGAAUUUAAAAAGGUGAGCCAACAAAAGGAAAACACCAUGAAAAUAAAACUGAAGGCAGCCCGGGGCAGAUAUAAAACAUCAGGCAGUGCCUGAAGGAGGAGCCUGGAGAGCCGAGCCUGGAUCCACAGCCCUGGGCGAGAAGCCUCUUCUGCUUUGGUUCAAACCUCAGUGGCUCUGGGAAGUUCAUCUGAGCUUUCCUAUCAUUUCACUGGGAUCCUGGGUGAGUCACUCUUUCCAGCUUCCCCUCUCUGGGUCUGUGUCCUGUGUAAAAUGUGUGGUUCAGUAGAUGGGCGUCGACCCACGAACCAGGAGGUCACGGUUCGAAUCCCUGUUGGUGGAGUGCAGGAGGCAGCCGAUCGAUGAUUC